UCAUCAAUGGCCAUAGCAAAGGCAGGAGCAACAAACAAUACAUUUGGUUCUUUAGUCACAGGUGCAAAUGUCAUGAAAGUCCCUGGCCUUAACACACUUGGUGUGUCCAUGGCUCGUAUCGACUAUGCCCCUGGUGGAAUUAACCCACCUCACACUCACCCUCGUGCCACUGAAAUGAUCUUUGUAUUAGAGGGUGAAUUAGACGUUGGCUUUAUUACAACUUCAAAUGUUUUGAUUACAAAACAUAUUGUUAAAGGUGAAGUGUUUGCUUUCCCUAGAGGACUUGUACAUUUCCAACAGAACAAUGGGGAUGUUCCGGCAGCCGUCGUCGCGGGGUUCAACAGCCAGUUGCCUGGAACUCAAUCGAUCGCUACAACGUUGUUCGCUUCAUCACCAACUGUUCCUGAUAGUGUCUUGACUAAAACAUUCCAAGUUGGUACUAAGGAAAUUCAGAAAAUUAAGUCAAGGCUGGCACCCAAGAAAUAGAUUAUUCGUUAAUUAAUUGAUCGUGUGACAAUUAAUUCGUUUGGUGAGAGCUUGUUAAUUGAUAGGGAUUUGUGGGUUUAUAUACGACGGGGAAUGGAUUGUAUAUCUUUUGUUUCAAAUAAUGUUGUAAACAUUCUAUUGUUUCUCUGUUGGUAAUAAAUGUGAUCGUUCUGUUUCUACAACUCAUAGAUACAUGAGUGAAACAUACUACAAAAGAUAGCCAUAAUUCAUAAACAUAAGAGAUCACGAAAAAAAGUGGAACAUAAUAAAAAGAAGUGCUAAACUCUCUCUCCUUCUGUUUAAUAAAGGAUGACCUAAUUUGAUUUGAAACGGAGUUUAAGACUUUUUAAAAUGUUUCAAAAUGUCUUUUAAUAUUGUGAUCUUAAACAUGUCAUGUGAAAAGUUAAAAUUAUAGUGUUACCAAAAAAAAGGAAUCAUUCUUUUUCAAAACAAACUAUAAAGAAAAUAGAAACAUUCUUUUAGAAACGGAAGGUGUAUUUUUUUCUUCUUUGUUUACUCAAAUCUACGAAUUUAAUGUUAAAGAUGGGCCGGGUUGUAUCAAGCAACCCCCAACCUCCUUGUCCGUCAAUAUCAAAACUAUUUAAGAGUCAAGUCUUGCAUUUUUUUUCCUUGUUUGUUUCCGUCUUAUUUCAUCACAAUAUGAGAGUUAAUUCUAUGCGAUAUGAUGAAAGAUAGCAAGAAUGUGACAUAAUAAAGACGACUUUAUUUACGUUUUACACUACGCCACCUACAUACCGUAAAAGGAAAUCAAUUGUCUUCCCUGAUAUUAACGACGUUGUACUUGAAAUUCUAUUACCCCCAUUAACAUUGCUACUAUUUUAGGGACCCUAUUUUAGUUUCAAACAGUUGUUGGAUCUUUACAAGCAAUUAAUUAACGAUAGCAGUUUGAUAUAUAUCUAUGAUCCGUUAAAAAUUUUCUUAUAGUGUUUAUAUAUAUGAUGCAUGAUUUGACUAACCAAUCAUUUAUGAUGCAUAAUUUACUUUUGCUAAACAUAAAUAUUGAAAUUUAACUAAAUAAGAUUUUUCUAUAAUACAUUUAUUGCUUAGGUGCAGGAACUUAAUUAUUUAAUAUUAUUUCAUUGUACAUGCGUAAUAGAUUUUUGAUUCUUCAAGACAUUAAAAAUUAAUCAAGGUCAAGCAUAUAUCACGCUAAAAAUAGACAAAAAAAUGACCAUCAGAAUCAAGUUAGCCCAGGCGACUAAAAAGUAAGACAGAAGGAAUAAUAUAAUUUAACAAGUACGCUAUAUAUAUAUGAUAUAAGUAAUUAAGUAGAUUGCUAAGUAUUUGUUUUCAUUUUGAGUAGGUGAGCGAACUCUUUGUGACGAGUUGAAAAUGAAAGUGAAACAAUAAUUAAGUUCGAUGUAUGGAUUAAUUUUGAACUAUACUAUUAACGCACUUGAUCUAUUAUCUGUAUUCGAAAAUAAAAAAUUAGAUAAACAGCUACAAUGUUUAAUUUUUACAAAAAGCAUAUUUUUAUGUUACAAAGAGAUAAAUAUACAUAAAAUAUUGAUUAUGAAAAUAUCUAACAAUAUAAAAGUAUUUGUUAUUAAUGAGAUUUUUAUAUCCCAAAUAGAUGUCAUCCGUGACGUUUGCGAUGUUGUAUUUCCUUAUUUUUUGGAUAUAAGCUGUAUAAGAUAAACUUUGUAUAUUACAUUGAUUAACGUGAACUUAUACUAUUUACUUACCUUUAAAGGCAGGAUUCAUCGAAAUCAUAAUACGGAGAGAUCAUUUUUCAAAUUAUUACUUUUUUUUUAUAAAAGUCAAAUAUAAUAUAGGGUCUAAUUUGUGUCAUUGUAAAAUCAUUUAACUUAUCAAUUAUUCCGUGAAAGCCAAUAAAUUACUUUUUAUUCACAUUAGAAUUGUCCAACUCAUGAAUUGUUCAAAAAAUUGCUAAAGUAAUUUUUAAUUAUUUUGAAUCCAUUAAACUUUAUGACUGCUUACUCAUAAGAUAGAGGAAAUUUCAAGGAUGGUUAUCCAAUCUUAUUAUACGAGAUGUCUUUUGUUACAUAAUUAUAUUUUACUUUCACUAUAAUUUUCUCAAAAAUUGUUUUCAUUAGGCUUGAGGAGGCAGUUUAUUUGGUAUGUUUGAACAAAUAAAUGAAAGAAAAUUAAAGGUUGAACAGAAGAAUGAACAACAAUGAAAAGAAUCAAAAAAUUAAGUUUAUAAUUAUCCUAGAACUCUUUUCUUUUACGGUUUGGAUCAUUGCUAUUUAUAGUAUCAAAAAUAUUAUUUUAUAUUAUAUUUAUCUAUUAUAUUGUAUAAUAUGGUAGAUAUAAUGUUUGGUUAAACUAUAUUAUUUGGUGUUGUUUAAUAACAUUUCUAUUAUUUGUACUAAAUAUCUUCAAUUAUUCUAGGAUAAGAAAAAUAUAAGGUAAAAUAGUAUUAUGUAAGGAUAUAUUUAGAGAAAGAAUAAAUUAAUUAACAACGAGAAUAUACCAAAUCAGUUAUUCCAUAAAAUAAGAAUUUUCAUUGUUAAAUAACAACGAAAUUUAACAAUAAAAUAUAAUACAAUAUAAUUUUAACUAACAAUCGAAUCAAAUAUUAUUUAUAUGAUAAUGAUACAAUACAAUAUAAUAAAUAUAAUGAUAUAAACAAAGCAAUAGUUAUGACAAGUUUUAGACCAUUCACGUUAUCGAAAUUAAUUAAUUAAUUAAUUAAGAUUAAGACAAUUUUUGUCAUAACCUGAUCAAAAUAAGAUGAUUUUUUUUUGAUAAAAAAUAGAUAAAAUAAAUACCUAAUACUUCGCUUUGGGUCAAAGAGGAUAUAAACAGCAUGGUUCUUGCGUUUGCACCGCACGCUUUCUUCACGUGACUUCAAAGUCUACUCAAGUUUUUUUUUGAAGAGUUUGAUAUGGUUUAAUUUGAAAGUUGACCAAAUUGAUUAUUUUAAAUUAAUUUUUAGCUUUUGAGUGUUUGAUAAAUUUAAAUAAAUUUAAAAAAAGUUAAAGGUCACAAAAAAAUCAUUUAUAUUUUUAAUUUUUAACUUAAAAAUUAUUUAAGUUUGACCAUUUUUUAAAAGCUACUACAUGUUUUUCAACAAUAGUUGUGCACUAUUUACUUGACACAUUUCUUAAGAAAUAAUAAUAGCAGGAUAAUAUUACUCUCUCCGUCCACAAUUGUUUGACAGAUAUAUACUAGAAAUAGAUGUCCAAGAUUAAUUAUCAAUUUAAACAUUUAAGAAAUAAUUAGUCAUUUUUUUUUUUCAAUUCUAUCCUUAAUAAUUACUCCAUUUUGUUCAAUUAAAAAGCCAUGUAGACUUUUCACAUUCUUGAUAUAAUAGACUUAUAUUACUCAAAUUACACAUUGUAUAAAAUUUCUCUUAAAAGGAAGGCAUGAUCUUAUUCAGACAAAUAAUUAUAGACAAAGGGAGUACUAUUUUAUCUUUUUGAGUUUAUUAAAUUUAAUGCUCUGAAAAAUCUAUUAAUAAAUAGUAUUUAAUAAUAAAAAAUAAAUAAUCUAAAAGAAAAAUUAUAUUAUUGAACAAGUAUUUUUUAUAUAGCGAACGCUAUUGUUAGAUGGAGGGUGUAUUUUUCUUUUAAAAAGCAAAUCGAAAUAGACUCUGUGUCUAUUCUCCUCUUAUAAAUAAAGCUCAUUCAAUUUUCUCUCUCCAUUGUCCCAAAAGUACUACCUGUUAUUUAAUUCAAAGCUCUCUCUAAAAUAAAUUCCUCUCUUUUUUGCCUAAAUCAAAAUAAGAAAUUAUUUCUUAUCAAUACUUUUCAUCUUAAUUCCACCAUGUCUGCCUUUGGAAAAUUUGUUGUAAUUAUGGCUGUUGUUAUGUUAGCCAUUAGUUUAGAUAAAGCUUCUGCUGGAGAUCCAGAUAUGCUUCAAGAUGUUUGUGUUGCUGAUCUUACAAACAGUAAGUUUAAUUUAACUUCCUCCGUUUUAAAAAGAACUAUUUUUCUUUUUAGACGUUUGAAAAUAAAUGAUCAUUUCUCUCUUUUUUUCGAUAAUAUUUUAAUUUUAAUUUUUUAUUUGUUAUAGAUACACUUAACAUAAAUUAAAUUGAGGGUCACAUAUUGAAAAGUUUUCUUUAAUUUUUUAAAUUUUAUUUCAAAUCAAACUAGUUAACGCGAUAUUUUUGUUUUGUGGUUUUGUUUGCCUUAAUUAAUUUCUCAUUUUGUAGUAGAUCUUGACUUUUCUACUUGUCCAAAUUGCUUCUACUUGCUUGCUUACUUGUUUUAGAUUUAUUAUGAGUGUUGAAUCAACAUCCAACUAUAUGAAUUAGCUGGCAAAAGUUAAAAAGAAGAAAAUUGACUAUAUCAAUGAUAGAAAAUUGUCCCAAAUUAUCUGUUUUGAUUUAAACCAAUAAUUGUUUCAAUAAUAUAAUUUGUUCUAAACACUACAAAUGCCUCAAAAACGUAGAUACUUAUUAAAAGUGAUUAUAAUUAUAUUUUUAAAGAUAUAUAAUUAAAGGUAAAAUAAUUUUUAAAAAUACUCCUCCGAAUUAAUGGGUUUUUAUUGAACUUGUAAAUAAAUGAGUAUUGGUUAGCAGCGGUGACAAUGGUCACCAAAUAUAAUCAAUUCCCUUUUUUGUCGUAAAGAGCAGUUUGGUACACCCACUUUUGAAAUCUAUCAUAAAAGAUAUACUUAAUCACUUUCUCAAAUAAGUAUAUCUUCUUAGAGUAGUAAGAUAUUAAAAAUAAAUUGAUGUUUUCUUUGUUUUUAAGUGAAAGAUUUUGGUACACUUUUUUUUGAGAAAAUGCAAAGUAUUCCUCAAUUUAUGGCCGAAAUUUCAUGAACAUACUUAUACUUUACUAAGGUCUUAUUACUCCCUCAAACUUAUUUCAUAAAUAAUUUUCUACCUCUUUUCGACCUACGUGGCACUAUCAUUGAAAAAACGUUGGGCACAGAAGAUAGUGUCAAGUAAGCCGAAAAAAGUAGAAAAUUAUUUAUAAAAUAAAUUCAAAAAUAAUAGUACAUUAAUAUUGUAUAAGUGUGUCUCUGAGAUUUCGAGCAUAGUUCAAGAUACAUUAUACAUUUUUUCCUCUCUUUUUUUUACUAAAGUAAAAAUAUAAAAAGGACAAAAAGAUAAAGUACUACUUAGCUAACAUUUCGUACUAUAUAUGCAAUAGGAAAAUGUCUUCCACAUUAUUAUUAUCUAAUCAUUUAUUUUAUACAACACUACUUAUGCAAUUUUCUGUUUUAUGUACACGAAAACAGGCUUAACAGUAAAUGGUUAUUUUUGUAAGAAGAACUUUUCAGAAAUAGACUUUUCAUCAAUGGCCAUAGCAAAGGCAGGAGCAACAAACAAUACAUUUGGUUCUUUAGUCACAGGUGCAAAUGUCAUGAAAGUCCCUGGCCUUAACACACUUGGUGUGUCCAUGGCUCGUAUCGACUAUGCCCCUGGUGGAAUUAACCCACCUCACACUCACCCUCGUGCCACUGAAAUGAUUUUUGUUUUAGAGGGUGAACUAGACGUUGGUUUUAUUACAACAUCAAAUGUUUUGAUUACAAAACAUAUUGUCAAAGGUGAAGUGUUUGCUUUUCCCAGAGGACUUGUACAUUUCCAA
rnacentral:lncRNA from 1 species